rnacentral:tRNA from 1 species
GGGGGUGUAGCCUAGUGGUAGGAUGUUUGCCUAGCAUGCACAAUGCCCUGGGUUAAAUUCCCAGUGCUGCCA